UUGAACGCUGGCGGCAGGCCUAACACAUGCCAGUCGAACGGUAACAGCAAGCAGCUUGCUGCUUUGCUGACGAGUGGCGGACGGGUGAGUAAUGUCUGGGAAACUGCCUGAUGGAGGGGGAUAACUACUGGAAACGGUAGCUAAUACCGCAUAACGUCGCAAGACCAAAGAGGGGGACCUUCGGGCCUCUUGCCAUCGGAUGUGCCCAGAUGGGAUUAGCUAGUAGGUGGGGUAAAGGCUCACCUAGGCGACGAUCCCUAGCUGGUCUGAGAGGAUGACCAGCCACACUGGAACUGAGACACGGUCCAGACUCCUACGGGAGGCAGCAGUGGGGAAUAUUGCACAAUGGGCGCAAGCCUGAUGCAGCCAUGCCGCGUGUAUGAAGAAGGCCUUCGGGUUGUAAAGUACUUUCAGCGGGGAGGAAGGGAGUAAAGUUAAUACCUUGGCUCAUUGACGUUACCCGCAGAAGAAGCACCGGCUAACUCCGUG
rnacentral:rRNA from 1 species